GAAAUAUAAAAACCCGUCUCUUAACUUUUAACUAAAAAGUUAAGAACAUGUUCUUAAAUAAGAAUUUUAAGAGCCGGUUUUUAACUUUUUUAGUUUAAAACUAAGAGACGGGUUUUUAUAUUCC
rfam:Brassica oleracea var. oleracea cultivar TO1000 chromosome C7, whole genome shotgun sequence